CGCAUCCUACGGGAGGCAGCAGUCGAGAAUCCUUCAUAAUGGGGGAAACCCUGAUGGUGCGACGCCGCGUGGGGGAAUGAAGGUCUUCGGAUUGUAAACCCCUGUCAUGUGGGAGCAAAUUAAAAAGAUAGUACCACAAGAGGAAGAGACGGCUAACUCUGUGCCAGCAGCCGCGGUAAUACAGAGGUCUCAAGCGUUGUUCGGAAUCACUGGGCGUAAAGCGUGCGUAGGCUGUUUCGUAAGUCGUGUGUGAAAGGCGCGGGCUCAACCCGCGGCCGGCACAUGAUACUGCGAGAC
rnacentral:rRNA from 1 species